GUGGGGCAGGGGCAGAGGGCAUCGGACGACAGCCGCCUGGUUCCCAUGCCAUACUUUUGCCUCAG
rnacentral:miRNA from 1 species